UCGAAUAAAGUUCUAAAUAGAUAAAUGAUAAUGACAAAUUUCUAUUUAUGUGUCUUGACUAAUUUUUGUGCCAGCAGUCGCGGUAAUACAAAUAAGACUAGUGUUAUUCAUCCUUAUUAGGUUUAAAGGGUACCUAGACAGCAACUUAGUUUGCUAGAGUUUUAUGUGAGAGGUUAAUAUUUGAACUAUUAGAGUAGUGAUGAAAUACUUUUAUACUAAUGGGAAAUAUAAUGGCGAAAGCAACCCUCUAUGUAAAAACUGACGUUGAGGGACGAAGCCUCGGGUAGCAAAGAGGAUUAGAUACCCUAGUAGUCCGAGGAGACAAUUAUGAGUGUUAUAUAUAAAUGAAAGUGCAAGCACUCCACCUCAAGAGUAAUGUGGCAACACAGGAACUGAAAUCAUUAGACCGUUUCUGAAACCAGUAGUGAAGUAUGUUAUUUAAUUCGAUGAUCCUCGAAAAAUCUUACCACACAAGCGUUGCACGGCUGUCUUCAGCUA
rnacentral:rRNA from 1 species